ensembl:lncRNA
AUUAUAUGAACAAUUGUUGAAAAAUAAAAUAUAUGACUGUAGACUAAAUGAUACUAUUUAUAAAUGUGUUGGUAAUUUUUUAGCACAUAAUAAUAGUAAUAAUAAUAAUAAUAAUAAUAAUGAUAGUAAUAAUAAUAAUGAUAGUAAUAAUAAUAAUAAUAGUAAUAAUAAAAAAAAUGAUGUUUUUAUGUAUCCUAUAUUAAACCAAUGUUUGAAGGUGGUUUGUUUGUCAGGAAAACACAUUCACAUAAGCGCUUCAGGCAGUUACCAUAAUCCCGUUAGUAGUAGUAGUAGUAGUUACGCUUGUGAUAAUAAUAAAACAUUCAAAACUAGCUGUUCAAAAAAUGAUGUGACAAUCCCAAUCUUACCUCCGACCGUUUGUUUUCCUCUUCUUAACAAACUAAACCAAAUAAAUUUUAAAUACGUCGACACUUUUGUUGUUUUGAAGCUUUAUAAAUAUAUAAACAAAAUAAAAAUGUCAUUAAGCAGUAAGUACAUAGGUUGUAGGGGUAGCGGAAUUGGAUGGGGAAGCACUACUACUACUACUACUACUACUACUAAUACUACUACUAAUACUAAUACUACUACUACUACUACUACUACCAACAACAACAACAACAACAACAACAACAACAACAACAACAACAACAACAACAACAACAACAACAACAACAACAACAACAACAACAACAGCAACUACAACUACUACUACUACCCCCCUGAUAAUAAAACAUCAUUUUUAAAAAUGUUAAAUGAAGUAUAUCAAAAACUGAAAAACAAGAUAAAAGCAGAAGGUAACAAUUUGAAUUUAUUAGAUAUGAUGAAUAUUUAUUUAAUUAGUAAUAAAAAAUCGAAAAAUAAAAUAUUUUAUUUAAAUAAUUUUUUGUUUGAUGUUUUAUUAUUGAACAGUAAGAAAAUUGAAAUGGCAGACAGUAAAAUGUUUAUAACGUUUUAUAAAACAGUUUUAAUAUAUAUGUACUUAAACAAAAUGAAAAAAAAAAAAAAAUGUUAUUGUAUUAAACAAUAUGAUAAUGUUUUUAAAACACUUAUGUCUAUAAAUAACAAUUAUAUUGAAAAAAAAAUAAAUACUUUAAAAAUAAAAUAUAUCUAUGAAAUAAUUAUAUAUAACCUUUUUUAUUUAAUUAGUACAUUGUUUAAAAAACAGAAAGAAUUAAAAACUGAAGUAAGAAAUGCACAAAAAGAUGGUGAAAAAAAAUGUAAAAAAAAACAUAUAAAAGUACAAUUUGGUCAACCACAGAACAAACAAAUAAUACAAAAAACAAAUGUGCAAACUAUUUUAAAUAUUCUAAACAUAAGUUUAUCAUAUUGGAUUUUUGGGUGUGAUGAAAAAAGCUUACUAAUUUAUAUAUGUUUGUUAUCUUUUAUUCAUAUGAUCAAUAAAAAUAAAAAAAUUCGAAAUUAUAUAUUUAACAAAGAACAAGCUGGUAAAUUUUUUUUAGAGAUUUGCCAUAAAAAGAUAAAAGAAAUAGACAAAAUAUAUAAUUCAUCUUUUAAUUAUUCUACUAUAACAUAUAUCAAUCCACUGAUAUUAUAUUUUUUAUUUAAAUAUAAAAUUUGUAUAGAUAAUUAUAAAAAUAGAAAAGAUAAAAAAGAAAAAAUGAAACGAAUUAUAAAAAACGAAACAAUAUACCAUCAUGUAAUAAAUGCAAAAAAUGAUAACAAAUUUAUUGAAAUUAUUUUUUAUGCUAUAACAAAAAAUUAUUCAUUUUUCAAUAAUAAUAAUAAUAAUAAUAAUAAUAGUAAUAAUAAUAUUAAUAAUAAUAGUAAUAAUAAUAGUAAUAAUAAUAAUAAUAACACCUUUGAUGAUUUCUCAAAUUUAUAUUCUAAUAAAAUAAAAAUUCAAAAAAAAGAAAAUAAUACUAUAACAAACAUUGAUAAACUAGAAAAUCAUCAAACAUUUUAUGAUGACAUAUUUGAACAAACUAAGCUUGUAAAUAAGUUAUAUAAUCUUUAUGAAGAUUUUUCAAUAUAUGUGUUUUACAUUUUUUUAGUAAAAAAAAAAGCAAUAGAGUAUUUUAUUA